GACGAACGCUGGCGGCGUGCCUAAUACAUGCAAGUAGAACGCAGUUGCGAACGGGUGAGUAACGCGUAGGUAACCUGCCUCAUAGCGGGGGAUAACUAUUGGAAACGAUAGCUAAUACCGCAUACUGUGAGAUGGACCUGCGUUGUAUUAGCUAGUUGGUGAGGUAAAGACUCACCAAGGCGACGAUACAUAGCCGACCUGAGAGGACGAUCCGCCACACUGGGACUGAGACACGGCCCAGACUCCUACGGGAGGCAGCAGUGGGGAAUUUUGGACAAUGGGGGCAACCCUGAUCCAGCCAUGCCGCGUGUAUUAAGAAGGCCUUCGGGUUGUAAAGUACUUUCAGCGGGGAGGCGUUACCCGCAGAAGAAGCACCGGCUAACUCCGUGCCAGCAGCCGCGGUAAUAC
rnacentral:rRNA from 1 species